rfam:Gallibacterium anatis TMN179, complete genome.
AUUUCAGCAAUCGCUUCUUCACCUUCUUUACCAUUUUUCUUAAUGUACUCUUCAUAGUAAGGUUUCAUUGCUUCUUUGAACGGAACGAGAUCCGGUUUAGUCACAGUCAUACCUUUA